UACGUGGGAGGGCUAGCGUUGUCCGGAAUCAUUGGGCGUAAAGCGCGCGUAGGCGGCCCGGUAAGUCCGCUGUGAAAGUCAAAGGCUCAACCUUUGAAUGUCAGCGGAUACUGCCGGGCUAGAGUCCGGAAGAGGCGAGUGGAACUCCUGGUGUAGCGGUGGAAUGCGCAGAUAUCAGGAAGAACACCAACGGCGAAGGCAGCUCGCUGGGACGGAACUGACGCUAAGGCGCGAAAGCGUGGGGAGCGAACAGG
rnacentral:rRNA from 1 species